UCAUGAUGAAGAUGAAGCAUGAGGUCAAG
rnacentral:piRNA from 1 species